UGGGGAAUAUUGCACAAUGGGGGAAACCCUGAUGCAGCGACGCCGCGUGAACGAAGAAGGUAUUCGUAUCGUAAAGUUCUGUCCUAUGGGAAGAUAAUGACAGUACCAUAGAAGAAAGCUCCGGCUAAAUACGUGCCAGCAGCCGCGGUAAUACGUAUGGAGCGAGCGUUGUCCGGAAUUAUUGGGCGUAAAGGGUACGCAGGCGGUUUAAUAAGUCGAAUGUCAAAGAUCGGGGCUCAACCCCGUAAAGCAUUGGAAACUGAUAAACUUGAGUAGUGGAGAGGAAAGUGGAAUUCCUAGUGUAGUGGUGAAAUACGUAGAUAUUAGGAGGAAUACCAGUAGCGAAGGCGACUUUCUGGACACAAACUGACGCUGAGGUACGAAAGCGUGGGGAGCAAACAGG
rnacentral:rRNA from 2 species